rnacentral:tRNA from 3 species
AGCCCGGAUGGUGGAAUCGGUAGACACAAGGGAUUUAAAAUCCCUCGGCGUUCGCGCUGUGCGGGUUCAAGUCCCGCUCCGGGUACC